AACGUAGGGGGCAAGCGUUGCCCGGAUUUACUGGGCGUAAAGCGGGUGUAGGCGGUCCUCUAAGUCAGAUGUGAAAUCCUACGGCUCAACCGUGGAACUGCAUCUGAUACUGGAGGACUUGAGGACGGUAGAGGUCGGUGGAAUCCCCGGUGUACCGGUGAAAUGGGCAGAUAUCGGGGGGAACACCAGUGGCGAAGGCGGCCGACUGGGCCGAUCCUGACGCUGAGACACGAAAGCUAGGGUAGCGAACCGG
rnacentral:rRNA from 1 species